rnacentral:rRNA from 1 species
GACGUAAGAGGCGAGCGUUAUCCGGAUUCACUGGGCGUAAAGCGCAUGUAGGCGGUUCGUCAAGUCGUGUGUAAAGCCCCUGGCUCAACUGGGGGAGGUCAUGCGAGACUGACAGACUUGAGGGCAGUAGAGGCACGUGGAACUCCCGGUGUAGCGGUGGAAUGCGUAGAGAUCGGGAAGAACACCCGUGGCGAAGGCGGCUA